GGGGGCGUCUGGUUUUGACAGCACAGGUCUUUGAAAGUGUAAGCAUGUACUGCGUUGCGUAAUUAGCAGUUAAAUCUGAAUACGAAAACCAUAAAUGGCAAUACUCAGUAUGCCAUGGCUGCCUAAUCAGUGAUUAAGUAGUCAUUAGGGCCGCCGGGCCGGUUCGCUUGUUUCCAUGCUCCGCCGCCGACUUAAAGCAAAACAAGAUGCAGUGGGUACAGGCUGUGCUACCCAAUCAAGAAAUAUUCAGCUAAGGAAGUAAUCGGUUGCCGGUUCCCAGUUGCUUCCUGACAAUAUAAAACAGGAUAAACAUGUAGAAAGCUUUUGGAGAAUGUGUUUGGACAGGAGUUCGACUCUCCUCGCCUCCACUU
rnacentral:tmRNA from 1 species